UCAGAACCGAUGACGGAGAAGAGUAAUCAGGAUGACACAUGACCAGAGAAGGAAAGCCUUGGCUGUAAGCUUUCCCAUGAUGACUUGAUGAAGAGAACACUCUCUAGGUUUCCCUCUGAACGGACUUGCAUCUAGUAGGAGGAGAACGUGACAGGCGUUAACUGUCUUUGAGCGGGAGCAGUCUUUUUGCUUCAACUAGGGUGGCACCACGGGAUACAAACUCUCGUCCCUACA
rnacentral:ncRNA from 1 species